rnacentral:rRNA from 1 species
UACGGAGGGUGCAAGCGUUAUCCGGAUUCACUGGGUUUAAAGGGUGCGUAGGUGGGUUGGUAAGUCAGUGGUGAAAUCUCUGAGCUUAACUCGGAAACUGCCAUUGAUACUAUCAGUCUUGAAUAUUGUGGAGGUCAGCGGAAUAUGUCAUGUAGCGGUGAAAUGCUUAGAUAUGACAUAGAACACCCAUUGCGAAGGCAGCUAACUACGCGAUAAUUGACGCUGAUGCACGAAAGCGUGGGGAUCAAACAGG